GCUCUUUUGUGCUUUAUUGCUUUUGCUGUGUUUAUUGUGUGGGAAAAUGGUUUAUAUGACGUUGUAGUUGAGGUUUCGCUGAAAAAUUUGAUGUAUACAUUGUUGGGGGUCGGCUGUCACCACUCGCGUAGCAUACCUUCAUGUUGUGUCAAGCCCCAGGGUCCCCUAAUUAGGGGACCCGUGGCCACCCUUCAUUGUAUUAGCACAUAACAUUGAAGUAAAUGAUGGAAAGUAAUAAGUCAGACAGAGUCUGAGAAUUCAGUUAAAAACUGCAGUGGAAACAAGCUCUUAAUACAUUUUUUAAUAUAAUUUCAGUAAUACAAGUUGCAGUUGCAAAAACGCCUUCUCUGUUCUAUGAGGCUCUCUCUGUGUGUCUUCUUCUUUCCAGCUACCAGAGGAAGUACCCUUACAACCAUGUGGGCCGCACAUUGUACCAGCCUCCAACCCCGGUCGCCUCCGAGACCCAGUAUUUCUUUGUGGAUGUGUCAACCCUGUCUAGCCAGGGUACAAACUACCAGCUCAGGGUCAGCCAUGUUGAAAGCUUCACCCUGCAGACAGACAAGAAAUUCAACUUCACUGCAUCACCAUCUCAGCCUCAGUACUUCAAGUAUGUCUUCCCAGAUGGGGUGGACACUGUGAUUGUCAAGGUCAACUCAGACAUGAACUUCCCCUGCUCCGUUAUGUCAAUCCAGGACAUUCAGGUACAAUUACGCCACUUCCUGUUCCUUCAAACCAGGCAGCUGGUGUCCUUCAGUGGCCCUUUGCACUGUGCUCAUGUAGUAGUACUCUUUGGCAACAUGAGGACACAGUUUAUUGCUACAGUUUCAGUGCAGAGCGGCACAAACAUUGUUAAUUUAUGAUACA